rnacentral:rRNA from 1 species
AUGGACAGUAGUUCUGUUUUCUCACCUCGGUAUAUUAGGCAGCUGUCGCUGACAUGUGGGAUCCCUCGCUCAUGGACUGUGCCUUGUAGAGGAGAGGAGGGCACCCCAUUGGGUGAUAACCCUAGCCGCCAUCCCCAUCCCAGCGCGCCCCCUCCUUCGCAGCCGCCGCCACGUCUCCCGUCGUUGAGCUCGCCUCCGCCGCUGCUCUCCCCUGUCCCUCCCGCACCACCAACCCCGACUCCUCCCCUGUACACGGCGAGCUCGACGAGCAAGGCAGACAUUUGGGCGCUGCUGUACGAGGGCCAUGCCGAACACGCCCCGGAGCACGACGGCCUCUGCUUCCGCUUCUCAUCUGAUGGGCACCUCUGCGCGCGACGGCCGCGCAUCGCCAUCAUCGGGACGAGCGACAAGGCCAAAGGCGACGGAGGCGACGGCCGCGCGUCGCCAUCACUGGGAGGAGCGACGCCCGCCGAGACGGCCGUCCAUGUCGCCGGUGUCAUCAACCUUCAGGUGCUCUUCCUCCCGUCUCAGCUAGGGUUCCUGUCCUUCCUCUCACUUCUUUCUCUCCCUCGCAUAUCUCUCUCCGUCGUCGUCGUCACCAUCCACACGAGGAGCACACAGACGGCUAAUCCGUCCAGAUGGGGGGAGGCCGUCGUGGUGGUGGGGCUGGACUUUGCCGCCUGCGACGAGGCGGCCGUCGACGCCGCGGUGGAGGCGGCAUGGCAUUGCUUUGGCCACGGCGAGCUCAACACCCUGGUUAACUGCUGCUCCUAUGAAGUCACACCUUGGCUGCUAAUAAAGGCGAUGGCAAAGUGGUUCCGGGAUGCGCAGUCCGGCGGUUCCAUGGUAUGCUUGAUCCAGAUCAUCGGUGCUGAGAGAGGACUCUGCCCAAGGGUUGUGGCAUACUGUACGAGUUUAGGCGUUGUUCAUCAGCUUGUCAGAAAAAUCUUUGCUGUGAGCACAUUUGCUCCAUUUAUUGAGCACAUUUGCAGGGAGUAG